GUCUUUUUUUUUUUUUUUUUAAGGGAAGAAGAUUCUAAGGAGAUUUUGCUACAGAAAUAGCAACAGACGGCUGGGAGGACUGGAGAGAGCAGCUGCAUUUCCUCCACACGGGUCACCGAGGAACUCACGGGAGCCUGCGAAUAUUUGCAUGGGAGCCUUGCAUUGACACUGUGUGCUUUGGAUUUCAGGGAGCAGGCUGAUGCCUCUUGGGGCAUGUGCGGGUGAGCUGGUAGACUGUCUGCACACCUUUGCAGUGUGGAGAACAUUCCGGAAGGAAAGGAGCCAAGACAGGAGUUGAUGUUUAGUUAGGAGGCUGGAGCGGUGCUUCUGGGG
ensembl:lncRNA